rnacentral:rRNA from 15 species
CAGAGGCGAAGAAGGACGUGGCGACCGACGAAACACUCCGGGGAGCUGGAAGCAAGCAUUGAGCCGGAGAUAUCCGAAUGGGGCAACCCCUAGUACUACCUGCUGAAUAUAUAGGCAGGUAAGAGCCAACCCAGCGAACUGAAACAUCUUAGUAGCUGGAGGAAGAGAAAGAAAAAUCGAUUCCCGAAGUAGUGGUGAGCGAACCGGGAAGAGCCUAAACCAGUUGACAAGUCAACUGGGGUUGUGGGACAGCGACAUGGAAUCUUUAAGCUAGACGAAGCAGGCGAAUACUGCACCAGAGAAGGUAAUAGUCCUGUAGUCGAAAGUGGCAAGAUACUAGCUGAAUCCCGAGUAGCACGGGACACGAGGAAUCCCGUGUGAAUCUGC